rnacentral:rRNA from 1 species
AUGAUAGCAAUAACCUGCUGGUACCUAUGGUGGGAAAGGAGAAAGCUAUGCCAUGGAGAAAAGGUUCAAACUGCUAACCAGAUUGCUACUUCUGUUAGAGUCCUUACAGCUAACUACACUUCUGCGGCCGCCCCUAAAGCUAAGAGGAAAACAGGAGGAUGGGAACUCCUGCCUAGAGGACAUGUGAAAUUGGAUGUGGAUGCCUCCUUUGACGAUGAUCUGCUUGUAGGGACGGCAGGUGCAAUCAUCAGAGAUGACAAAGGUAAUUUUAUCAUCGCGGGUAAUUGGAAACUUGAUUUCUGUUAUGAUGUUCUUUCAGCCGAAGCAACUACAUUGCGAUAUGGUUUAUCUUUAGCACAGACUGUAGGCUGUAAUAAGGUCAUCAUUAACUCUGAUAAUUUGGAAGUGGUGAAUACAAUGAAUGAGGGAGGAAGAUCGGCAUGACCAACAACAGCAAUCUUCGAUGACUGUUAUCACAUGGCAUGUGAUUUUCUUUAUACUUCCUUUGUGCAUUGCCCCAGAGAGGCAAAUAUGGUAGCCCAUGAACUGGCAAAUUUGGCAAAGGGGCCUUUAUGUAUGUAG